rnacentral:misc_RNA from 1 species
AUCGUUUCCUCCGACUGAGCCUGCACAAUCUACGAGCUUGGUGGCAGCUGGUAGGAACAUGAAUAAUGUUUUAUUUAGAAGAGAAAAUCCUCUGUCCGGCUUGCAGCUUGCUUAGUGUGGUUUUCAUUAUUGAAGAGAAUCCAAAUCCAGCCCAUUUAAAACAAAAUGGUUCCGAUUUUGCAUUUCCUUUUUAAGCUUUUCAUGGAAACAAGCAUUGUCUGAUUGGCAUUUUAUUAAAUAGAAA